rnacentral:rRNA from 1 species
GGGCUAGUGAUUAGGACGUCCACUUAACUUGGAGUCCGAACUCUCACUUUCUAACCCUGUGCAUUUGUUUGGGAUAGUAACUCUCGCAAGAGGGCGAACUCCUAUUCACUUAUAAACACAAAGUCUAUGAAUGUAUUAAAUUUUAUAACAAAAUAAAACUUUCAACAACGGAUCUCUUGGCUCUCGCAUCGAUGAAGAACGCAGCGAAAUGCGAUAAGUAAUGUGAAUUGCAGAAUUCAGUGAAUCAUCGAAUCUUUGAACGCACCUUGCGCUCCAUGGUAUUCCGUGGAGCAUGCCUGUUUGAGUGUCAUGAAUACUUCAACCCUCCUCUUUCUUAAUGAUUGAAGAGGUGUUUGGUUUCUGAGCGCUGCUGGCCUUUAGGGUCUAGCUCGUUCGUAAUGCAUUAGCAUCCGCAAUCGAACUUCGGAUUGACUUGGCGUAAUAGACUAUUCGCUGAGGAAUUCUAGUCUUCGGACUAGAGCCGGGUUGGGUUAAAGGAAGCUUCUAAUCAGAAUGUCUACAUUUUAAGAUUAGAUCUCAAAUCAGGUAGGACUACCCGCUGAACUUAAGCAUAUCAAA